rnacentral:rRNA from 1 species
CAUAUGCUCGUCUCAAAGAUUAAGCCAUGCAAGUGUAAGUACGAGCUUGAUGAAAAAGUGAAACCGCGAAUGUCUCAUUAAAUCAGUCAUGGUUCAUUGGACGAUGAACGGUUACUUGGAUAACUGUGGCAAUUCUAGAGCUAAUACAUGCAAACAAGUCCCGACCGGAGACGGAAAGGACGCACUUAUUAGAUCAAAGCCUAGCGGGUGGAGGGUCUCCGAGUGUCCCAGCGGCACUCGCCCCUCUCCCGCUCGAGUUCUUGGUGACUCUGAAUAAUUGUCUGAUCGCACGGCCUCCGAGCCGGCGACGUGUCUUUCAAAUGUCUGACUCAUCAACUGUCGAUGGUAGGUUCUGCGCCUACCAUGGURGUAACGGGUGACGGGGAAUCAGGGUUCGAUUCCGGAGAGGGAGCCUGAGAAACGGCUACCACAUCCAAGGAAGGCAGCAGGCGCGCAAAUUACCCACUCCCGGCACGGGGAGGUAGUGACGAAAAAUAACGAUACGGGACUCAUCCGAGGCCCCGUAAUCGGAAUGAGGACACUUUAAAUCCUUUAUCGAGUAUCCAUUGGAGGGCAAGUCUGGUGCCAGCAGCUGCGGUAAUUCCAGCUCCAAUAGCGUAUAUUAAAGUUGUUGCGGUUAAAAAGCUCGUAGUCGGACUUGUGUCCCGCCGUGUCGGUACACCGCACGUCGGUGUCUAACUGGCAUGCAGGCGAGGACGUCCUGACGGUGGUCGCGCCCGCCCGGUCCUCGCUGGCCCCGAUUCUCCCAACCCUUCGGCCGGGUCGCUGAGCGUUCACGCUCGCCCCGUGCGCGCAAGGGCGGAGUUUUCGGCAAAGCGUGGUCUCCGGAGCGGCCGGCCUGGUCUCCGCAUCCUCUCGAGGUGCUCUUGACCGAGUGUCUAGAGGGGCCGUCACGUUUACUUUGAACAAAUUAGAGUGCUCAAAGCAGGCAUACAACACGCCUGGAUACCAGUGCAUGGAAUAAUGGAAAAGGACCUCGGUUCUAUUUUGUUGGUUGUCUGAAUCUCCGAGGAAAUGAUCAAUAGGAACAGACGGGGGCAAACGUACUGCGACGUUAGAGGUGAAAUUCUUGGAUCGUCGCAAGACGCACAGAAGCGAAAGCAUUUGCCAAGUAUGUUUUCUAUGAUCAAGAGCUAAAGUCAGAGGUUCGAAGGCGAUCAGAUACCGCCCUAGUUCUGACCAUAAACGAUGCCAGCCAGCAAUCCGCCGAAGUUCCUCCGAUGACUCGGCGGGCGGCUUCCGGGAAACCAAAGCUUACGGGUUCCGGGGGAAGUAUGGUUGCAAAGCUGAAACUUAAAGGAAUUGACGGAAGGGCACCACCAGGAGUGGAGCCUGCGGCUUAAUUUGACUCAACACGGGAAAACUUACCAAGCCCGGACACCGGAAUGAUUGACAGAUUGAGAGCUCUUUCUUGAUUCGGUGGGUGGUGGUGCAUGGCCGUUCUUAGUUCGUGGGACGACUUGUCUGGUUAAUUCCGUUAACGAACGAGACUCUAACCUGCUAACUAGUCGAUGACUGGCAUCCUUCGCGCUGCCGGCGAGGAUGAAAUCUUCUUAGAGGGACAAGCGGCGUCCAGCCGCGCUACAAAGAGCAAUAACAGGUCUGUGAUGCCCUUAGAUGUCUUGGGCUGCACGCGCGCUACACUGAAGGAACCAGCGUGUCUUCCCUGGCCGAAAGGUCCGGGCAACCCGUUGAACCUCCUUCGUGAUAGGGAUUGGGGCUUGCAAUUGUUCCCCAUGAACGAGGAAUUCCCAGUAAGCGCGAGUCAUAAGCUCGCGUCGAUUAAGUCCCUGCCCUUUGUGCACACCGCCCGUCGCUACUACCGAUCGAACGGUUUAGUGAGGCCUUCGGACCGGCGAGCGCUGGCGUGCCUUCGGGCGCGUCGCUACUCGGAGGAAAGAUGGCCGAACUUGCCCGUUUAGAGGAAGUAAGAGUCGUAACAAG